rnacentral:rRNA from 1 species
UACAGGAGGUCUCAAGCGUUGUUCGGAUUCAUUGGGCGUAAAGGGUGCGUAGGUGGCGCUGUAAGUCGGGUGUGGAAUCUCGGAGCUUAACUCCGAAACUGCAUUCGAUACUGCCGUGCUUGAGGACUGGAGAGGAGACUGGAAUUUACGGUGUAGCGGUGAAAUGCGUAGAUAUCGUAAGGAAGACCAGUGGCGAAGGCGGGGUCUCUGGACAGUUCCUGACGCUGAGGCACGAAGGUCAGGGGGAGCAAACGGGG